rnacentral:rRNA from 1 species
AACGAACGCUGGCGGCAGGCUUAACACAUGCAAGUCGAACGCCCCGCAAGGGGAGUGGCAGACGGGUGAGUAACGCGUGGGAAUCUACCCAGUUCUACGGAACAACUGGGGGAAACUUCAGCUAAUACCGUAUACGCCCUACGGGGGAAAGAUUUAUCGGAAUUGGAUGAGCCCGCGUUGGAUUAGCUAGUUGGUGAGGUAACGGCUCACCAAGGCGACGAUCCAUAGCUGGUCUGAGAGGAUGAUCAGCCACACUGGGACUGAGACACAGCCCAGACUCCUACGGGAGGCAGCAGUGGGGGAUAUUGGACAAUGGGCGCAAGCCUGAUCCAGCCAUGCCGCGUGAGUGAUGAAGGCCUUAGGGUUGUAAAGCUCUUUCAGUGGGGACGAUAAUGACGGUACCCACAGAAGAAGCCCCGGCUAACUUCGUGCCACCAGCCGCCGCGGUAA